rnacentral:rRNA from 1 species
CACGUAGGGGGCAAGCGUUGUCCGGAUUUAUUGGGCGUAAAGAGCUCGUAGGUGGUUCGGUAAGUCGGGUGUUAAACCCCCAGGCUCAACCUGGGGACGCCACUCGAUACUGCUGUGACUUGAGUCCGGUAGGGGAGCGUGGAAUUCCUGGUGUAGCGGUGAAAUGCGCAGAUAUCAGGAGGAACACCAGCGGCGAAGGCGGCGCUCUGGGCCGGUACUGACACUAAGGAGCGAAAGCGUGGGUAGCAAACAGG